rnacentral:rRNA from 1 species
AACGCCGCGUGAGUGAAGAAGGUUUUCGGAUCGUAAAGCUCUGUUGUUGGUGAAGAAGGCCUUAGGGUUGUAAAGUUCUGUCAUAUGGGAAGAUAAUGACGGUACCAUAUGAGGAAGCCACGGCUAACUACGUGCCAGCAGCCGCGGUAAUACGUAGGUGGCAAGCGUUGUCCGGAUUUACUGGGCGUAAAGGAUGCGUAGGCGGACAUUUAAGUCAGAUGUGAAAUACCCGGACUCAACUUGGGUGCUGCAUUUGAAACUGGGUGUCUAGAGUGCAGGAGAGGAAAGCGGAAUUCCUAGUGUAGCGGUGAAAUGCGUAGAGAUUAGGAAGAACACCAGUGGCGAAGGCGGCUUUCUGGACUGUAACUGACGCUGAGGCAUGAAAGCGUGGGGAGCAAACA